rnacentral:rRNA from 1 species
AGAGUUGUAUCCUGGCUCAGGAUGAACGCUAGCGGCAGGCCUAAUACAUGCAAGUCGAGGGGCAGCGGGGGUAGCAAUACUUGCCGGCGACCGGCGCACGGGUGCGUAACGCGUAUGCAACUUACCCACUACAGGGGGAUAGCCCGGGGAAACUCGGAUUAAUACCGCAUAACACAGAGUAAUCGCAUGGUUGUUCUGUCAAAACAUUUGUGGUAGUGGAUGGGCAUGCGUUCGAUUAGCUAGUUGGUAGGGUAAUGGCCUACCAAGGCUACGAUCGAUAGGGGACCUGAGAGGGUGAUCCCCCACACUGGCACUGAGAUACGGGCCAGACUCCUACGGGAGGCAGCAGUAGGGAAUAUUGGUCAAUGGAGGCAACUCUGAACCAGCCAUGCCGCGUGCAGGAAGAAGGCCUUCUGGGUUGUAAACUGCUUUUAUAUGGGAGCAAUAGUUGGAUGCGUCCGAUGAUGAGAGUACCAUGUGAAUAAGCACCGGCUAACUCCGUGCCAGCAGCCGCGGUAAUACGGAGGGUGCAAGCGUUGUCCGGAUUUAUUGGGUUUAAAGGGUGCGUAGGCGGCUAUAUAAGUCAGUGGUGAAAUCCAGCAGCUUAACUGUUGAACUGCCAUUGAUACUGUAUAGCUUGAGUACAGAUGAGGUAGGCGGAACUGAAGGUGUAGCGGUGAAAUGCAUAGAUAUCUUCAAGAACACCGAUUGCG